UCAAUAUCUUGUUUUAUAGGAAAUUGCUGUUGACAUAGUCCAGAAGAAGGAAUCUAAUGAAGAAGGGUCAAGUAUAUUCAAUAAGAGUGUGAACUCGAUUGUGAGCAUAGAAGAGACGGUGGCGGUGGUAGAAGAGUAUACCAGCAACGAGAAAAAUUGCCAAUGCUCAUUUUCUGCGCUUGUAAUGGAGACCUCGCCUGAAGAGUGUCGAGUAAAAGAGCCACUUUCUGCCCCGUUUUAAGAUAUUAUUUUAAUAAAUAAAUGAAAAAUUAAAUUAGUAUUCAUGACGUUUGAGAUAAGUACAUAUUUGAGUUUUAUUUAAUUUUCCUAUUGACAAUGUUAAGGUGCACAUUAUUAUUAUUAAAUUUAUUGCAUUUCUCUAUUUUGCUAAAGUAAAUAAGGAUGGCUAGAGACUAGAGUAUGGAGGUUAUAAUUAAUGUUGCACUCAAAGAUAUGCAGACAAUCCUUACCUAAUAUGUAAAAAAUAUAUAUACAUCAUUCUAUAUAUAUUAGUACUUAUCAUUUUAUACUUA